AUUGAACGCUGGCGGCAGGCCUAACACAUGCAAGUCGAGCGGAUGAAGGGGGCUUGCUCCUGGAUUCAGCGGCGGACGGGUGAGUAAUGCCUAGGAAUCUGCCUGGUAGUGGGGGAUAACGUCCGGAAACGGGCGCUAAUACCGCAUACGUCCUGAGGGAGAAAGUGGGUGAUCUUCGGACCUCACGCUAUCAGAUGAGCCUAGGUCGGAUUAGCUAGUUGGUGGGGUAAAGGCCUACCAAGGCGACGAUCCGUAACUGGUCUGAGAGGAUGAUCAGUCACACUGGAACUGAGACACGGUCCAGACUCCUACGGGAGGCAGCAGUGGGGAAUAUUGGACAAUGGGCGAAAGCCUGAUCCAGCCAUGCCGCGUGUGUGAAGAAGGUCUUCGGAUUGUAAAGCACUUUAAGUUGGGAGGAAGGGCAGUAAGUUAAUACCUUGCUGUUUUGACGUUACCAACAGAAUAAGCACCGGCUAACUUCGUG
rnacentral:rRNA from 1 species